UGGGGAAUUUUGCACAAUGGGGGAAACCCUGAUGCAGCGACGCCGCGUGAUUUAGAAGUCCUUCGGGUUGUAAAAAUCUUUUCUAUGGGAAGAAAAUGACAGUACCAUAGGAAUAAGGACCGGCUAAUUACGUGCCAGCAGCCGCGGUAAUACGUAAGGUCCGAGCGUUGUCCGGAAUCAUUGGGCGUAAAGGGUACGUAGGCGGGUAAGCAAGUUAGAAGUGAAAUCCUAUAGCUCAACUAUAGUAAGCUUUUAAAACUGCUCAUCUUGAGGUAGGGAAGGGAAAGUGGAAUUACUAGUGUAGCGGUGAAAUGCGCAAAUAUUAGGAGGAAUACCGGUAACGAAGGCGACUUUCUGGCCAUAACCUGACGCUGAGGUACGAAAGAGUGGGUAGCAAACAGG
rnacentral:rRNA from 1 species